UGAGCCGGCCGGGCGGCCGCGGCGCUGCGAACCACUGCACACCAGAAAGGCGCAGGUCGAGGAAAGUCCGGACUCCACAGGGCACGGCGGUUGCUAACGGCAACCCGGAGCGAUCCGCGGGAAAGUGCAACAGAAAGUAGACCGCCUCGUACGAACUCGUACGAGGUAAGGGUGAAAGGGUGCGGUAAGAGCGCACCGGCGUGCGUGGCGACACGCGCGGCCAGGUAAACCCCGCCGGGAGCAAGGCAAGAGCCCCCGCCCGCAGCGGCGGAGGUCGUCGGACGUAGGCUGCCCGCCCAGUCCGAAGGUAGCUGCUUGAGGCGCCCAGCAAUGGGUGGCCCAGAUGGAUGGUCGCCGCCCCGCUCGCGGGGAACAGAAUCCGGCUCACAGGCCGACUCAUUCG
rnacentral:RNase_P_RNA from 1 species